AAUGAUCCUUCCGCAAGGUCACCUACGGAAACCUUGGUACCACUUUUUACUUCC
rnacentral:rRNA from 1 species